UCAUUGUGCAUGGGCAACAAGUGCAUCCAUGUGUUUCUCUUGGGAAGAUGAAGCUGUUUUUUCUUGUUACUCCCUUGCCUAGGAUUUACAAAGAUCUUAUUUUUCCUAAACUGAAGCUGCCCUGGUAAGUACUACAAACCACACCCAGGCGUGUGGCUGAAAGCAUACUCAGUUUUGGAAGGCAGACCCCAGUAUUCUGGCUUAAGGCAACUAUUGGAAAGGCUGUUCCAUUUAAGAGGCAAGGAAACAGCUGCCUCUGUUUCCUGUGUUCUACUCCCUGAGCCUGGCACAGCUUUGCCG
rnacentral:lncRNA from 1 species